CCUAAACCAAACUAAAAGCUUUGCUGAUUGUUCCGUGUUGCCGUCUACCCCACUUCUCUUUUCUUAAGUCUCGAACUUUGUUAUUGUUGGUUGCUGUCUCCGGUCACCGCCAUUAAGGGAUAAAGAAUGGAAUACUUGGAGCAUAUAGUAAAAAGUGGUGAAGUCUUCUGCUCCACUGGAUUUAGUUUAGUGCGGUGGAGCAUGCUCUUAAAUUUUGAAAUUUUGAUAGCAAGCAAUUUGCCCCCACUGCAAUUUUUGCAUGAGGUGGAGUGGCGCAAUUAAAACCCUAAAAAUAAGGGAGUUAAUUUUUAAGAUGAAAACGAGGUAAAUAGGGGAAACUCAAUUUGGAGGCUAAGGAACAACUCACACACACCAAGGAGAACUUUAAGCUUGCAAAGAUGAUAAGAAGAAGAGAUCUAGAGCGCUCAACAUAAACUCUUUUCUGCCGAUGCAUUUUCCAAAGAGUGCCUAGACCAAUGCCAACUAGGAGCAUCAUUGGGGACUAAAAAAAAACUACCAUGUUUGGAUUGGUAAAUUUUGGUAACAACUAUGUUUGGGGUAUGGUUCCUUUCAUUGGUUGAGAUACUUGCUAGCCCAUCCUUGAUAUCCAAAUUACUAUUAAAAAGAGAUAUUGGAGAUUAGUUUGGAUUAGAUCGAAAGAACCCUGAAACUAGUACAAAUCCUUUAAAAAAUUACAUAACCCAACCAGCCCAAGAUAAAACAAAUGAAUAAAAACUGAAGUUCACAAAAAAAGGUUAAGGUAGCCUUAAACGUCGAACAAUAUACCUAAACAAAACUAAAAACUUUGUUGAUUGCUUUGUGCUGUCGUCUAUCCCACUUCUCUUUUCUCAAGUUUCAAACUUUGUUAUCGUCAACUGUUGUCUCCAGCCACCUCCAUUAAGGUGAGAUUUGCUUGCUUAUUUUUAUACAAUUGCUUUUUUUUUUUUUGUUAGCUACUUAUUACUUAACUUACAUUUGAGACUUUGGAUUCAUGAUGCUCAUACUUAUCAUAAACUAUUAUGUUUAAGAAUUUCAAUAAAUGGUUGAGAGUACAUGGAGAUGAUGUUGUGAUGUAUGUGUGUAAAUUAUGUAAAAUUAAGUGACUGGAAGGUUAUGGCUUAACAAUCCGUGGGUAUAAAAUACCAUAAUUAACUAAUAAUGGGGUAUGAGAAUUUAGUUACCAUGAGUGACUUUUAAAAGUGAUUUAGAAUAUAUAUGAAAAUUUGGUGAAAUAUAAUAUUACUAUGGAAAAAAUUGAAAAUAUGACUUUAUGGUAAAAUUUAGUAAUUUAUUUCCAACAUUGCAAGUUGUUGAUAGAGUUGAGACAUUAUUAAAUGUGAACUAAAAAUGUGUAUAUUGGCACCUUGGCUAUUUCAAAGUUUAAUAAGUUGUCAUAAUUGAACUGUUCAUUAUGUGGCUUUGGUAUGUGACAAUGUAUCACUUAUAAAUGGAAGUUUAGUUUAAUGUGGGGCCAUAAAGACUCUUCUCGAAUUUUUGCCAUGAAAAUGUUGGUGAAUGAAAUAAAUGGUUAUACAUGAUCUUUUAAAAACAUAGUGAGAACCAUGAAUGUGAAAUUGAGGCAUAAGAUGAUUUUUGUGAAAAUUUUUCAAUACGUGUGUUUAGACAAGAAUGGCCUGGACAAUCUUUGAACUCCGUUAACUUUAAUUGUAUCUCUAUCUAAAUAAUAUACUUAUAAAUGUGUAAAUGGCCUUAUCUGAAACAAGUUACUUCUGAACUAAAUAAGCCCUAGUAAACUUAGUGAAAACGUUAGGAUACAAUCGACAUGUUGAUAGGGAUGUGAUAUGUUGCCUUUGGGACUCGCAACUUAGUGCUUUCUAGUGCGUUUUAGAAAGUUGAGUGAUCUGCCACAAUUUGUUGUGACAAAUUAAGGUCUUUCUGGCACUUAACGAGUUUGUUUUCAAGUGUUUUUAUAUGUUUUUAUUUUGGUUUCAAUUUUUAUUUGCUUAGGUUUAAUUUUAGUAAUAUAAGUGUUUUUACGCAAUUUUUAGUGUUUUGACGACCCGUAAGGCUAACUCGGGCCUCGAAUAUGACUAAUAGGUUAUUUUAGUGUGUAGGGCAUCAAUUUGGGCUUAAGUAUGCAAGGAAUGAUGGUCAUGUUGUGACAUCAACAUCCAGUAUCGCAACACUGAACUUCGAAGCAUCGAGGGCUGAAAAUAGAGUUGACAUCACAAUGUGGGGAUCUUGGUGUCAUCACAUAAGCGUCGCUGAAAAGAUGAUGUCAGCGGCCAUGUGAUCAGAAUUUUAAAGCUGUAAUUUGGUUAUUAAGUCAAGGGUAUUUUAGGGAUAAAUUACCCUAAUUUUACCCUAGGUUUUGCCUAUAUAUACACUCUUAUAAUCUCAUUAGGUCGGUUGUUGAUAGCUAGACAAUUAAAUAUUUUUGUUUUUCUUUGUAAUUUAUUUAUGUUUGUUUAGUUAGGAUUCUUUCUGUUCCAAUGUGAAGACGAUUGCGAGCGGGGGAUUGCUCUGGCACCGCGCCUCAAUUAAUUAUCAAUGAGCAAUUUCUUUA